UUGUUUUCUGGAAAUGAAUGGUACACAAGAGAGGGUAUUAUUUUUAUUUAGCACUGCCACAUGUCGAGAGGAGAGUGGAUACUUUUGAAAUUUUGAAAAAAAAAUCCUACCAUUAUCUUUAUCCUAAUUGUACCACCAAUCUCCUUUUUUUUAUUUUAAAUUUUUUCUUAUAUUUGUUUAUUAGGGUUUUAGAAGCUUGGAGUUGGGCCUUGGGCUUUAUAGUUUAAUACUUACUAAUCCACCAUCCAAUUACUGAUGA
rnacentral:lncRNA from 1 species